UGAGGAACAUGACUUUCGGCGGGGGAUAGCCGGCCCAACGGCCGGGUAAUACCGCGUACGACCUUCGAGGGGCAUCCCUUGAUGGUGAAAGCCGUAAGGCGCCGAUGGAGAACUUCGCGGCCUAUCAGCUAGUUGGUGAGGUCAUGGCUCACCAAGGCGACGACGGGUAGCUGGUCCGAGAGGAUGACCAGCCACAGUUGGGACUGAGACACGGCCCAGACUCCUACGGGAGCAGCAGG
rnacentral:rRNA from 1 species